GCCAUCUGUGGGGAGCUCAGUCCCCAGAUUCACCUGCGGCACUUGGAAUGGGGCCUUGGAAGGUGGCCAGGGUUAGACGAGGUCACGAGGGUCGGACCACGAGUGCUGAAUGACAAGAGGAGACACUGGGCUGGCUCACCCUCUCUGUCCCACCUCGUGACGUGGUGACACAGCACAGGGCCCUCCACCGAUGCCCAGCAGGCCAGCUCCCCAGCCCUGAGCAUCCGGCCUGCGGAACUGAAGCGCAGCAAACCUCUGUGAACUGCCCGGGGCCGGGCGCUGCGUCACAGCGACAGCAGGCAGGCGGAGGUGGCCGCCCCGAGCUUCCGCGUAGCCGAGUUUGAGCACUGCCGUCCUCUGGGGCACACCUAGGCCUGGAGCUGCUGCCCACGUGGUCACUCUGGGUCCACCCAAGCUGCUGGCCCACGGCCCAGAGCCCCCACUGGCCUGGAUGGGCGGGUGCUCGCUGCUCCCUUGGGAAAUGCCGUCGUGGAAGCAGCGGAGCUGCAGAGGGCAGGACCCGGCCCUUGAUGGAGGCAGAGCUCACCCCACAGGGAGCUCCCCUGCCGGGCGGCACGACACUGGCUGCAAAUAACACCGGCCACCAUGGUGCCAGCCAGAGGACACUUGCGUUCCCCGAGCCCAGUCAGUGCCAGGCAGCUUUGGGAGUUCGUGUGCAUGAACUCACGCUGCGCUCAGUUUAGUGCAGAUAUUUCUGUCGGCUCCUUUUCCUACAUGAGGAGGCUGAGGCACAGAGAGGGGCCUCACUUGCCUGUGGAUGCACAGUGAGGG
rnacentral:lncRNA from 1 species